GUCCCAGACUCCUACGGGAGGCAGCAGUGGGGAAUAUUGCACAAUGGGGGAAACCCUGAUGCAGCGACGCCGCGUGAAGGAAGAAGUAUUUCGGUAUGUAAACUUCUAUCAGCAGGGAAGAAAAUGACGGUACCUGACUAAGAAGCCCCGGCUAACUACGUGCCAGCAGCCGCGGUAAUACGUAGGGGGCAAGCGUUAUCCGGAUUUACUGGGUGUAAAGGGAGCGUAGGCGGUUUGGCAAGUCAGAAGUGAAAGCCCGGGGCUCAACUCCGGGACUGCAUUUGGAACUGUGCUGCUAGAGUGUCGGAGAGGCAGGCGGAAUUCCUAGUGUAGCGGUGAAAUGCGUAGAUAUUAGGAGGAACACCAGUGGCGAAGGCGGCCUGCUGGACGAUGACUGACGUUGAGGCUCGAAAGCGUGGGGAGCAAACAGGAUUAGAUACCCCCGUAC
rnacentral:rRNA from 1 species